rnacentral:rRNA from 1 species
AAGCAGGGGAUCGUAAGACCUUGCGCUUUUGGAGUGGCCGAUGCCUGAUUAGCUAGUUGGUGGGGUAAGGGCCUACCAAGGCAACGAUCAGUAGUUGGUCUGAGAGGACGGCCAGCCACACUGGGACUGAGACACGGCCCAGACUCCUACGGGAGGCAGCAGUGGGGAAUUUUGGACAAUGGGCGAAAGCCUGAUCCAGCAAUGCCGCGUGAGUGAAGAAGGCCUUCGGGUUGUAAAGCUCUUUCAGUCGAGAAGAAAAGGUUGCGACUAAUAAUCGCAACUUAUGACGGUAUCGACAGAAGAAGCACCGGCUAACUACGUGCCAGCAGCCGCGGUAAUACGUAGGGUGCGAGCGUUAAUCGGAAUUACUGGGCGUAAAGGGUGCGCAGGCGGCUCUGUAAGUCAGAUGUGAAAUCCCCGGGCUUAACCUGGGAAUUGCGUUUGAAACUACAAAGCUUAG